rnacentral:rRNA from 1 species
UUACCUGGUUGAUCCUGCCAGUAGUUAUAUGCUUGUCUCAAAGAUUAAGCCAUGCAUGUCUCAGUACAAGCCUGCAAAAUGGUGAAACCGCGAAGGGCUCAUUAAAUCAGUUAUGGUUUACUGGAAUAUGAUCUAACUUGGAUAACUUUGGCAAUUCUAGAGCUAAUACAUGCAAAAUACGCCACCGCCUUUUUAAGGUGCUCGCGUGCUUUUAUUAGACAACCAGGGGGGGAUUUUCCCUAACGGGAUGCCACCCCAGUCACUUAAAGUGAUGAACUCUGUAUAACUUAUUGCCUAUCGCUCAGGUCCUAGUACCGGCGAAGUUCUUUCAAGUGUCUGCUCUAUCAACUGUCGAUGGUAGGUUAUACGCCUACCAUGGUUGUGACGGGUAACGGAGAAUCAGGGUUCGAUUCCGGAGAGGGAGCCUNNNNNNNNNNNNNNNNAUCCAAGGAAGGCNNNNGGCGCGUAAAUUACCCAAUCCCCGAACUUCCGAGGUAGUGACGAAAAAUAACGAUGCGGGGCUCUAACGAGUCUCCGUGAUUGGAAUGANNACACUCUAAAACCUUUAACAAGGACCUAUUGGAGGGUAAGUCUGGUGCCAGCAACCGCGGUAAUUCCAGCUCCAAUAGCGUAUAUUAAAUUUGUUGCGGUUAAAAAGCUCGUAGUUGAAAUUCAUCGUAUCCACGCAGUGGACGCUUUUCGUGUCGUGUGUGUGGUUUACGCAAUCGGUAACUGUCCGUCGUCCUCUUCAUUGAGUGGCUUCGGGUGGUUGCCAAAAAUCACUUUGAUUAAAUCAGAGUGCUUAAAGCAGGCCGAGCGCCUCUAUGACAGUGCACGGAAUGAUGCAACACGUUGCUGUUUCGUUUGUCUGGUUUUUUGGAUACGGCAAGAUGAUCGAGAGGGACAAUUCGGAGGUGAAGGUAUUGCAGCGCUAGAGGUGAAAUUCUUGGACCGUUGCAAGACCAACUAAAGCGAAAGCAUUCGCCGAGAAUGUUUUCAUUGAUCAAGAACGAAAGUUAGAGGCUCGAAGGCGAUCAGAUACCGCCCUAGUUCUAACUAUAAACGAUGCUUACCUGUAAUCCGCCUCGGUUCUUUAAAUGACUGGGCGGGCAACCCCGGGAAACCCAAGUGGAGUUCCGGGGGAAGUAUGGUUGCAAAGCUGAANNNNNNNNNNNNNNNNNNNNNNNGACCAAGAAGUGGAGCCUGCGGCUUAAUUUGACUCAACACGGGGAACCUUUCCCGGCCCGGACACUGGGAGGAUUGACAGAUUGAGAGCUCUUUCUUAAUUCAGUGGAUGGUGGUGCAUGGCCGUUCUUAGUUGGUGGGUUGACUUGUCAGCUUUAUUGCGAUAACGAACGAGAUUCUAGCCUACUAAAUAGUCGUGAGUUUUACUCACAACUCACGUCCUUCUUAGAGGGACAAGGCGCUUUCAGCGCCACGAAAGAGUGCAAUAACAGGUCAGUGAUGCCCUUUAGAUGUCCGGGGCCGCACGCGCGCUACACUGAUGGAAACAGCGUGUCGUAAGCCUAGUCUAAAUAGACCGGGUAACCCCAUGAAAUUCCGUCAUGCUUGGGAUAGGGGAUUGCAAUUAUUCCCCUUGAACGAGGAAUUCCUAGUAAAUCCUAGUCAUCAACCAGGGUUGAUUACGUCCCUGGCCUUUGUACACACCGCCCGUCGCUACUACCGAUUCAGUGGUUUAGUGAGGUCAUCUGACUGAGCCCCCGGGCAGCCUUUGGCCGACCGGACGGCGCGGGAAGACAACCGAACUUGAUUACUAACAGGAAGUAAAAGUCGUAACAAGGUUUACCGUAGUGAC